CCUGCCCUCCCCGUUUCUCCUCGUGAGGGCUCCCUGAUCCGGUUCCCCCCGGAUGCAUCGUUUCGUGUUUCUUAGAAUCUCGGCCGUUUCUACGCCGUUACAUGGAUUUGGCUUGAUUCGAUUUGCGGAAUGGAAGGAUUCGAGCCGUUGCCGGAGUUUGGGUGGUUGUGGCGGAGAUGGGGCGUAUUUGGAUCAUUUUGUGCGAGGGAGAUCUCGGCUAGCGUCCUCCUAUAUUCCACAUUGGUUUAUUCGAAGGGUUACGACGCUCUGGUGACAACUGACAAUGGCGCCACUGAAGAUAAGUUUUUUGUUCUUGCGUUGCAUCACAUGUUUGAAUAGAACCGGUGGAU